UCCGAUAUGGUGUAGUGGCUAACAUUAUCGCCUCUCCGAUCUCCGGACCGACCGAUCGCAACCGCACCGUGUCGUCCUUCCGCAUGCGGUGCCGUCCGCCCCCCACGUGAUCAUUUAUCACGUGACCGCGAUAGCCCGGGGUUCGAUUCCCCGUGUCGGAA